rnacentral:rRNA from 1 species
GCUGCCGAGGGUCGAUCCAUUUGGGAAAUGUUGUGUACUUCGGUAUGCAUCUCAAUUGGACCUGAUAUCAGGCAAGAUUACCCGCUGAACUUAAGCAUAUUAAUAAGCGGAGGAAAAGAAACUAACAAGGAUUCCCCUAGUAACGGCGAGUGAAGCGGGAAGAGCUCAAGCUUAAAAUCUCCGUGCAAGUUUUGCGCGGCGAAUUGUAGUCUAUAGAGGCGUGAUCAGUGUGGGCGCUUGUUUUAAGUUCCUUGGAAGAAGACAGCAUGGAGGGUGAUACUCCCGUUCAUCCCUGAGUUGCUCGUGCGUACGAUCCGUUUUCUUUGAGUCGCGUUGUUUGGGAAUGCAGCGCAAAGUAGGUGGUAAAUUCCAUCUAAAGCUAAAUAUUGGUGCGAGACCGAUAGCGAACAAGUACCGUGAGGUGAAAGAUGAAAAGAACUUUGAAAAGAGAGUUAAAGAGUACCUGAAACUGCUGAAGGGAACCGAAUCGUUUCCAGUGUCUAUAAUCCGUGGUAUAUUUCAUUGGCGAGUGUGUGCGUGCGUGUGCUGUGGCAGCGGCUUUUUUGGCUGCGCUCGGCGUGUGUGCUGUGUGUGCUUGCUGGUGCCCUGUGCUGCGGUGGGACGUCAAGGUCAGUUCGUAUGCUGCGGGAAAUGGCCGCCGAGGAGGUAGGGCUUACGCUUGCGUUUGUCUGUUAUAUCUUGGUGGACGAGUAGUCGCGGUUGGGACUGAGGUGCCUACAACGUGUUUUUGAGUGGGCCUGUGUCUCUGUGUGCGCCGUGUGCGGAUAGCUUGCUAUGCGUGUGUGGUUGUGUGUGGAUUGAUGUGAGUUUUAACUUGUUGCCGUUCGGGACGUUGACGAAAUGGAGCGAUUUGACCCGUCUUGAAACACGGACCAAGGAGUCUAACAUGUGUGCAAGUGUUAGGGUGUGGAAACCCCAGCGCGAAAUGAAAGUGAAGGGCAGCGUAAGUUGUCUGAGGUAGGAAAUGCUGCGGGCUUCGGUCUGCGGUGUGGCACUAUCGACCGAUCAUGAACCUUCGUGGUGAAAGAUUUGAGUUUGAGCACAUAUGUUGGUACCCGAAAGAUGGUGAACUAUGCCUGAGUAGGGUGAAGCCAGGGGAAACUCUGGUGGAAGCUCGUAGCGAUUCUGACGUGCAAAUCGAUCGUCAAACUUGGGUAUAGGGGCGAAAGACUAAUCGAACCAUCUAGUAGCUGGUUCCCUCCGAAAUUUCCCUCAGGAUAGCAGCAACUUAUUUACGAUAGUUUUAUGAGGUAAAGCGAAUGAUUAGAGGAUUCGGGGAAGAAACUUCCUCGACCUAUUCUCAAACUUUAAAUCUGUAAGACCUGCAGGUUUCUUAAUUGAACUUGUGGAUGUGAAUAUCAAGUUGCUAGUGGGCCAUACGGGGUAAGCUCGUCUGGCGAUGCGGGAUGAACCGAACGCAAAGUUAAAGUGCCAAAAUGCUCGCUCACCUAGAUACCAUAAAAGGUGUUGGUUCAUUUAGACAGCAGGACGGUGGCCAUGGAAGUCGGAAUCCGCUAAGGAGUGUGUAACAACUCACCUGCCGAAUGAACUAGCCCUGAAAAUGGAUGGCGCUAAAGCGGGCUACUUAUACUUUGCCGUUAGCGCGAUAGCAUUUAUAAUGUACGCGUUAAUGAGUAGGAGGGCGUGAAGGUCGUGAAGAAGCUCGUGGCGUGAGCCUGAGUGAACGGCCUUUAGUGCAGAUCUUGGUGGUAGUAGCAAAUAUUCAAAUGCGAACUUUGAAGACUGAAGUGAAGAAAGGUUCCGUGUGAUCAGUAAUUGGACACGGGUGAGUCGAUCCUAAGAGAUAGGAUAAUUCCGUUUGAAAGCUGGGCUGUUUGAGGCGUGGGGUUCGUCCUUGCGUUUUGUAUGCAGCCUCGUGUAUCGAAAGGGAAUCAGGUUAAUAUUCCUGAACCGAGACGUGGAUAAUAUGUGGUAACACAACCGACCCAGGAGACGCUAGCGUGUGCCCAGGGAAGAGUUCUCUUUUCUUUUUAACAAGCAUAUCCUACCUUGGAAACGGAUUAUCCGGCGAUAAGGAGGAUGCCUUGGCAAAGCACUUUACUUUUUGAAGUGUCCUGCGCGCCCACGACAGCCCUUGAAAAUCCUGGCUAGAGAUUUAUUCGCACCCUCGUUUCGUACUCAUAAACGCAUCAGGUCUCCAAGGUUAGCAGCCUCUAGUUGAUAGAAGAAUGUAGAAUAAGGGAAGUCGGCAAAAUAGAUCCGUAACUUCUGGAAAAAGGAUUGGCUCUGAGGAGUGGGGCCUAGGGGUCUUUUUGGAGAACUUGUGGCGGAUCUACGCUGGGGCUGCGUCUGGACCUUUCGGGGACCGGAUGCGGCCUGGCGGUCGGGCUGCUCUUGUUGUGCCGGAGAGAAAAGUAGUUGUGCUUUCGGGCUGGCUGCUGUUUCCUUAGUGCGUUGAACAACCGGCUCAGAACUGGAGCGGACAAAGGGGAAUCCGACUGUUUAAUUAAAACAAAGCAUUGUGAUGGCCGGAGACGGUGUUGACACAAUGUGAUUUCUGCCCAGUGCUCUGAAUGUCAAAGUGAAGAGAUUCAACCAAGCGCGGGUAAACGGCGGGAGUAACUAUGACUCUCUUAAGGUAGCCAAAUGCCUCGUCAUCUAACUAGUGACGCGCAUGAAUGGAUUAAUGAGAUUCCCACUGUCCCUAUCUACUGUCUAGCGAACCCACAGCCAAGGGAACGGGCUUGGAAUAAUCAGCGGGGAAAGAAGACCCUGUUGAGCUUGACUCUAGUCUGACGUUGUGAAAUGACUUGGGAGGUGUAGAAUAAGUGGGAGGCUCUGCCGUCUGUGAAAUACCACUACUCUCAAUGUUGUUUUACUUAUACCAUGAUGUAGCAUCUGUGUGGCCUCGCGGUCGCUCAGUUCUAGUUGUAAACUUGGGCUUUUGCCUGGGUGAGCUACGUGGAAGACAUCGUCAGGUGGGGAGUUUGGCUGGGGCGGCACAUCUGUUAAAUGAUAACACAGGUGUCCUAAGGUGAGCUCAAUGAGAACAGAAAUCUCAUGUAGAACAAAAGGGUAAAAGCUCACUUGAUUUUGAUUUUCAGUAUGAAUACAAACCGUGAAAGCGUGGCCUAUCGAUCCUUUAGUUCUUUUGAAUUUUAAGCUAGAGGUGUCAGAAAAGUUACCACAGGGAUAACUGGCUUGUGGCAGCCAAGCGUCCA